CCAACCGCCGUCCGACACUGUUGCUUGAACAUUGAAUCGUUUGCUCGUCAUUCCCUGCGUAAAUCUUCCUGCUCGCUCGAGCAUUGUGCCUUACCCUGGCCUG
rnacentral:lncRNA from 1 species